rnacentral:rRNA from 1 species
AGUGAACGCUGGCGGUAGGCCUAACACAUGCAAGUCGAACGGCAGCACAGAGGAGCUUGCUCCUUGGGUGGCGAGUGGCGGACGGGUGAGGAAUACAUCGGAAUCUACUCUGUCGUGGGGGAUAACGUAGGGAAACUUACGCUAAUACCGCAUACGACCUACGGGUGAAAGCAGGGGACCUUCGGGUCUUGCGCGAUUGAAUGAGCCGAUGUCGGAUUAGCUAGUUGGCGGGGUAAAGGCCCACCAAGGCGACGAUCCGUAGCUGGUCUGAGAAGAUGGUCAGCCACACUGUAACUGAGACACGGUCCAGACUCCUACGCGAGGCAGCAGUGGGGACUAUUGGACAAUGGGCGCAAGCCUGAUCCAGCCAUACCGCGUGGGUGAAGAAGGCCGUCGGGUUGUAAAGCCCUUUUGUUGGGAAAGAAAUCCAGCUGGCUAAUACCCGGUUGGGAUGACGGUACCCAAAGAAUAAGCACCGGCUAACUUCGUGCCAGCCGCCGCAGUAA